ACGCGUGCGCGCGCCCCGUGACCACGCCCUGUUGCUGGUGAAGAUCAUAUUGAGGCAUUGGAAAAAGGAGCUCCCUCCAGUAUGCAGAUGACUCAAUAUCCUGAGAAGGCACCUUUAUUUAUACUGGAAGAUCCUGCAGAUACCUGCCUAACAAAACUCUGCUAUCCUUAAUGCUGUGGACUAGAAGGUACUUGAUGCUGAGAUGCAGUGGGAAUGCCCAGUAAAGAAGGAGUCCAUUUCCAACCAAAGAAUGUCUUUAGAUCUAACCUGAAUCACAAAACAAGUAGACAAAGUCACUGUUCGGGACACUUCCUAGAACAGGUUGCUCAGACCCCUUCAAUCUGUAUGUUGUGAAAGUCAAAGGAAUAAAAAGACAAAAGUGAGAUGUUGGGAAGCUCCAAAUUAAAAGAUAUCAAAGAGACAUGAUAGGCCGGUGACUGGGGCCUGCAUCCAUUCAUUAAGGAAGGGAGAAAACAGGGUAAGAGGAAGAAGGAAGAAAGAAAUUGUCUAAUGAGGACAAUUAGAGGACAACGGGAAAUCAGAGCAUAGUCAUUUUAUUACACAGUAGUUUUGUAUUGGCUUGAAUUCCUUGACCAUUCAUUAUGAAGGGGAAUGCAUGUGUCUGUUCUUUGGAGACAUCCAAUUGAAAUAUUUUGGAUGGGAAAUGCCACGAAGUCAGAAACUUUCAAUUGAAAGGAAAAGGCCUCCAUCCCUCCUCCGGGCUCCGCUCUGGGCAUCCAGAGGAGAAAGACUUUGAAGUCCUCAGGGGACUUGCAAGCAGAAGUGGGGGAAAGGGUACCACAAAUGGAGAUGAAAUCUGUCUUUACUUUCCUGAUGUUCCUGGGCUUCAAAGCCAGAGCCAUGAGCCAUGGAAAGGCGGAGUUGGAAAGGACGCUGUCUCUGAUGUGACAUUCUAUGCUCAAAAAUGCCUUUGCCUGGCCUCUUUGUGUGACUUCAGUUGGAUACCAGUAACAGCUGCUUUCAAGGUCAAGUCUGGAAUGUUCCAAGGCACUGGACAUGAGACAUUCAAGAGCCUGGAGAAGAGACAAACGUUGUCUGUGCAAGGCCAGAGACAAGUAAAGGAGCCAUGGCUACAGUUUGUGGACCAGUAGUCUCUGGACCCCCAGUCUUCAGACUCUUAGGCCAGGGCUUGAGUCUCAGAUUUUGUUGUUUGGCACAGUGAGUGAGCUGGGCAUCGAUAUGGAGUCAGGUAGAAUAGAAAACAGGACUUACACUGAUACAUUACCUUGGUAAAGCUGUUGUGAGUGAAUACAAGGUUGGAUGAAUCAAGAACCCUUGGCAACAAUUGAUGCUCAAGAAGGAGGUGACUGUCCGAGAAGUAAUGAUGCCACAUCAAGUUGGCUCAAUAAAGAUGCGCUUUGUGCAUUUGCUUGCUUCAGAACAA
rnacentral:lncRNA from 1 species